rnacentral:rRNA from 1 species
CCUACGGGAGGCAGCAGUGGGGAAUAUUGCACAAUGGGGGAAACCCUGAUGCAGCGACGCCGCGUGAGUGAAGAAGUAAUUCGUUACGUAAAGCUCUAUCAGCAGGGAAGAAAUACUGACCUUACGGUCAGCAGACGGUACCUGAGUAAGCAGCCCCGGCUAACUACGUGCCAGCAGCCGCGGUAAUACGUAGGGGGCAAGCGUUAUCCGGAUUUACUGGGUGGAAAGGGAGCGUAGACGGUGCGGCAAGUCUGGAGUGAAAUGCCGCAGCUUAACUGCGGAACUGCUUUGGAAACUGGCGAACUAGAGUGCGGGAGGGGUAGGCGGAAUUCCUAGUGUAGCGGUGAAAUGCGUAGAUAUUAGGAGGAACACCGGUGGCGAAGGCGGCUUACUGGACCGUAACUGACGGUGAGGCUCGAAAGCGUGGGGAGCAAACAGGAUUAGAUACCCUUGUAGUC